UCUUGGUCGUUCCUUGCUCUGCGCAUCGCUUGAAAACCGGCGGUCAUACUCCAGUGUACGCUGCCAGCGUGCUUUAUUGCCAGAGCCGCCUCCCCUUCUGGUGAUGACCAUAUGCAGCCAAUGCUGAUGUGAACCUGAGUGAUGAACAAAUGCAGAUCUGCAAAGGAGCUGUCCUGAGGCACCAUGCUUACUCAAGUCACGCAGUGAGAGUCAGGU